rnacentral:rRNA from 1 species
UCCGUAGGUGAACCUGCGGAAGGAUCAUUAUCGAGUUUUGACUGGGUUGUAGCUGGCCUUACGAGGCAUGUGCACGCCCUGCUCAUCCACUCUACACCUGUGCACUUACUGUGGGUUACAGACGGUGAAGCAGGCUCCUUACGAGGAGCUUGUGAAGCGUGUCUGUGCCUGCGUUUAUCACAAACUCUUUAAAGUAUUAGAAUGUGUAUUGCGAUGUAACGCAUCUAUAUACAACUUUCAGCAACGGAUCUCUUGGCUCUCGCAUCGAUGAAGAACGCAGCGAAAUGCGAUAAGUAAUGUGAAUUGCAGAAUUCAGUGAAUCAUCGAAUCUUUGAACGCACCUUGCGCUCCUUGGUAUUCCGAGGAGCAUGCCUGUUUGAGUGUCAUGAAAUCUUCAACCUGCAAGCUUUUAAUCGGUUUGUAGGCUUGGACUUGGAGGCUAUUGUCGGCCUUUAUUGGUCGGCUCCUCUUAAAUGCAUUAGCUUGGUUCCUUGUGGAUCGGCUUGUCGGUGUGAUAAUGUCUACGCCGCGACUGUGAAGCGUUUGGGCAGGCUUCUAACCGUCUCACUUUAGAGACAGCCUUAUGACCUCUGACCUCAAAUCAGGUAGGACUACCCGCUGAACUUAAGCAUAU